rnacentral:lncRNA from 1 species
AAUCUUUUUGCGGAUGUGCGAUAAAUUGAUUCGGAUAUUUGUCCACAUCUGAUCGUGGUUUUGACUGCUGAUCAUAGUAUUCAACCACUGCAGCUCCAGCUAAGGCAGCUAGUGUAAGAGCCUGUGCAUGCAACCUGCAAGAUAUAUGAAAAAACAAAGAACUCCAUGUCAACCCUUCAAAUACAUUUGAAAAAUUAUAAGCCUAUGCGGAAAAGGUCAAAGCUUCUGGCCAAACCCUCAUGAAAAAUGUAGAUACAAUGAAUGAUAACAUGUUCUAGACAACUCCAAAAAUGGUACGAUGUCAUGAAAUAUUGAUUUAUAAAGAACAAUCAACAAUAAGGAAAUCAAAUCCUAUGUUUAAUGCUUUUAAAGUUACAAAGAGAAGAGAAAACCAAAAAACAAAUUGCUCAUAAGGGUAGCCAUUAAAAGAUCAGUUCACAUCCAUGAUAGACUUUAUCAUUCUACCAAAAAUUGGUGGAUUCAAAUAUUAAAAUCUUGGUAUCCUGGUAUCACUUGAAAAAAGUUACAGUAUGCAUGUUAACAAUAGCUACAGUAUAAUUUUUGACUCACAAACAAUCACUAACUUGCAAAUAGAAGUUACUGUAAGUAGAAGUUCUAGGUAUCUCGAUCUAUUAUUUAACAGGAAGGAAAGAUUAAUUAAGACAUUGGCCAUAGGGUAAUACUAGAAGGUUAAAAGUGGAGAGGGUCAGAUUUUGUCUGAUGGUUGGUGCCCCUUAUAUGUGGUGGUAACAAGAAAAAUAAAAUUAAGAAACCCUUUUGUACAUGAAUAAUUAGGUGUAACCUAACCAGUAGGCUAAGGGAAAAAUCAAGAUGAUACAAUAUGACAUGACAUGAGCAGAAAAUGAUACAGAAAUUUCGACAAGUCAAAAAGAAAGGCGAAAUGCACAAUAUGCGUAUCACUCAACAUAUGAAAUUGCUGAUCUUAUCAUGUGUAGGACCUCUUAAAUAUGUUCAGAACUAUAUAUCAUGGUUAGACAAAGUGAAUCGGUCAUGAUUAGUGGUGUGAGAAGAGAUAAAGGGCCGAUAACAUAUGUGGGGGCAUUACAGCUUGUUGUUGUACGUACUCACCAAUUCGCAUAUGUUUUCAAAACUAGAAGUGAAAUAAAAAAGAUAAGGAGCAAAAUAAUAGGUUAAAAUCCAAACACACAAAACCAAAAAGACAAGAAGCAAAACAAGUUGAAAUCCACACAAUCAAUCAUCAUAUUUCACAUUCAACCUUGUCACAAAAGGUUAAAAUCCAAACACAUAAAACCAAAAAGACAAGAAGCAAAACAAGUUGAAAUCCACACAAUCAAUCAUCAUAUUUCACAUUCAACCUUGUCACAAAAUGAAAAACAAAAGCAGGGCACAAAAGCUCUAUUGGAACUUUCCUAUGGAUAGAAGAUUCAAUGAUGAAGUCCUUCAGUACACAACCAUAAUAGUAAACUGAAAAUUGGGUAGAUUAUAAAAUGUUCAUGCUAUGUACACUUUUGUUGAUCUUACACUCCAUAACAUAUUUGGAAUUAGUGAGCUAAAUGCUUAUUAAAGCACAUAAAAUCAGUGUUUGAUAAUUAUCCAAAUCCAGUACGCUUUUGGGCAAGUUUGAUAAACAUCUGGUUUAUAGCAUCAAAUGGCAUGUAAUACAAUAACUUUGACCCCAAUAUCAACUAUUGUCAUCAACAACACUUAAAGUGAAAAAUCAACAGGUACAAAAUUUCUUUAAAAAAUAGCCCCUUUUUGGAAGAAAUUAUUUUGGGUAAUCAGAGAAUUCCUACACAAUUAUAUUCUUCUAAAAUAUUUUCUUUCAUAAUUUUGUCUGACAAACCAAACAGUAAAAGGAAGAUCUUCCCUUAUAAAUUUUGUUUCCUUUCAUUCUCUUUGGAAAAAAACCAGAGUGUCAUACUUUAUGCCACACAUACCCUCUCUUGGAAAGGUAGCAUCUUCCUGGCAUUGGAUCUACAUACUUACGCUUGAGGGUCUUACAGAAAUAUAUGAACAUUUAAACAAGAAGUAUACAAUAGGUCCUUGAAUCUGUUUAUAAGUAUCAAUUAUCGGGCCAAGAAUUUAUGUAUUGGCAUGGUCAAUCUGAACAAGAGUGAUGUGCAAACCAUGAAGUACUAUUCAGCACCAUUUCUUCAGUCAUUCACCUGUUCGGUAGUUCUUAUAAAUACAGCUAGCUUGAUCUUUAACAAAGUUGGGUUGAGAUUAUACAAACAGAGUUACCAACAUAUGAAGAACGUGGCUUUGGAACAUACACUUUUUCAUGUACAAUCCACAUAUCUUAUUCUCUCUUCUUUUCUGAUAUCUUCUGUUGACUACUGUUUUCCAUUUUCUGUUGUUCUUCUUUAGUCUAUUGUGUCCUAAAGAUAUAAGGUAUCUUGUGAUAAACACACAUAAAAGAAAAGCUUGUUUCAAUAGAGAAACAAUGGAACUCCUAUUUCCAGGUUUUGAGCUAUUAAAGUACUCAUAAGUCACAUAAAGACUUCAAAAUGACAACAAACAACACCUGUAAAUGUCUAAAACUUUCAUCAUAAAGGAUGACAAUAGGCCCAAUAACUAGCUAACUUGAUGUGUAAUUGGCCUGAAUAGUUCAGGCUUAAAAGAACAAGAAUCUUGAAUCACCAGCUUGUUAGCCUUUAUAAAAGUUAGACCCCAAAAUCUUAUAAGCAGAAUAUCUGCAUAGGUGUAUCCAUUCCUGAAACCUGAAACCUGACUGAGCAGCAUACAAUUACAAGCUCCGUAAAGAUGUUUCCAUCAAAGACUAUCUUUAUGUAGGUAUGAUGUCUACAUAUAUACUAUUAACUUAUGCAAAGCUAUCAUGGUGGACAUGGAUAUAAAGUUUUGUUUCUCAGUGCACUCAAUUCAUUUCAUGAACUUACUGUAUGAGAUACUAUUCACAAAAUUUAAAGGAAGAUGUUAUUAUGAAAUCUGCGUUUACUAACCAACUAAAGCAAAUUAAUGUCUUAGCUGACUAUUGAGCUGCAUUUAUGUAUUUUAUUUGUUCCAACCAUCCGGCAACAGGUGAAACAUCAGCCUGUUAAAAAACCUGUGCAUGUUACUUAUAAUCUUUCAAGUUUAAAAAAAAGCUACCUGAACAGAAAUUAUGACCCUCAUUUGCUUAGACAUCAAAAACUGGACAAAGACUUGAGUUUGUUCUGAAUAAGUAGAAAUCAUACUUGUAGAGAAUUAUUAACAAUUGUGCAAACAUGGAAAACCUCUGCUGAACUCAAAGUUUCAUAUAUACUGAUGAUCCGGUCAACUCCUAGAAAUUGAUUUUCUAUGAAGGUGAACCUAUCUAUAAGCAUGGCUAAACUCUGGAAGACCUUACAUAACCUACAUUAAGCUUCCUAACCACAACAACCAUAGCAAUAUGAAUAUGUACAGGAACAAGUAAAACAUUGAGCACUGUCAAGGCCCAACUAAUGAAUAAUGGAUGUACUUUCCAUCCAUUGAUUGGUAUCUGAGAAACGUUAGAUGUGAUGAGCACACUCAUCAACUUCAUAUCCAGUAGCCCAUGAUUAAUGGUACUUAAAAUUUAAGCCAGCGCCCUUAUAAUAUCCAAGAAUCAAUUAGAACUAGGGUUAAACAGCAAUCUCGGGUGUCAUCAAAGUCCCAUGGCGGUGGAAACAAUCACAUGUUCUUCAGCAAGUACGCAUCAAUAAGGAUAUCAUCCGUCGACUACCCACAACUGUCUGUCUCCACGCCGGCAAAAUAACAGGGAAAAUUAACCCUUCAAUCAUCUCAACCACGAUCCACAAGCACCCCCCAAAAGAAACAAUGAGAAUCACUUCUAAGGGCAAAUGCCAUGUGAAUGGUAACAGAACAUAAGAAACCCUAAUUCUUAAAGCCUGAAAUCAUCGCAGCAAUUAGAUGAAAAAGAUAAAAUCAAGAAGCACAAGAUAACCUUUUUCGAAAAAAAUUAAACAAACAAGAGGAAAUCUUCGCCUAGGAAAGAACAGAUGAGCCAAAACAAACCUCGCGUGGAUGAUCUUGACGCUGGUUUUCAUGUUAGGGCGAGACCAGUUGUAGGCGAUCGAACUCCCGAUCCCGCUAAGCCAA